GCCUGGGUGGCUCAGUCGGUUAAGCGUCCGACUUUGGCUCAGGUCAUGAUCUCACGGUUCGUGAGUUCGAGCCCCGCUCCGGGCU
rnacentral:tRNA from 1 species